AACUUCAGACCUCAGAUCAGGCAAGGCUACCCGCUGAAC
rnacentral:rRNA from 1 species